rnacentral:rRNA from 1 species
GAGUUUGAUCAUGGCUCAGGACGAACGCUGGCGGCGUGCUUAACACAUGCAAGUCGAGCGAUGAAGUCCCUUCGGGACGGAUUAGCGGCGGACGGGUGAGUAACACGUGGGCAACCUGCCUCAAAGAGGGGGAUAGCCUCCCGAAAGGGAGAUUAAUACCGCAUAACAUUAGAGUGUCACAUGAUGCUUUAAUCAAAGGAGUAAUCCGCUUUGAGAUGGGGCCCGCGGCGCAUUAGCUAGUUGGUGAGGUAACGGCUCACCAAGGCAACGAUGCGUAGCCGACCUGAGAGGUGAUCGGCCACAUUGGAACUGAGACACGGUCCAGACUCCUACGGGAGGCAGCAGUGGGGAAUAUUGCACAAUGGGGGAAACCCUGAUGCAGCAACGCCGCGUGAGUGAUGAAGGUCUUCGGAUUGUAAAGCUCUGUCUUUUGGGACGAUAAUGACGGUACCAAAGGAGGAAGCCACGGCUAACUACGUGCCAGCCG